CGCAAAUCUUUCUUGCUUCUCACCUUAUGUAAGUCUGCAAUGUUGUACUGAGUCUAGGUUCAAGAAUCUGCCCUUGGAAUGCAACAGAGAUACAAAGAAUGGUAAUUACAGCCUCUUCCUCAGAGGAACCUACACUUGAGUUGGGUUAGGGAAAGAUGAAACAAAUACACGGGUAUGGCAAAAUGUACCAAGGGUCACAAAUGUAACACAAAACUCCUCUGGAAAUUGGAUAGAUUGAGAAGUGGAAUCCUUGGAGUGUCAAGGAAGACUUCAUGAAAGAGACAGUAUUUGAGUGGAACUUAGAAGGGGUGAUUUCAUCAGAAGGAGGAAAAUGUCUUUAUCAAGUGAAAAGAUUGGCAGAAAAAUAACUGUGGCCUUCAACUUCUAAUAACUCAGCCUAGUAUCUCGGAGCUAGAAAAUCUGCACGGCUAGAUUUUCUUCUAGUCAUUCUUCCUGGCAA